rnacentral:siRNA from 1 species
CAGUUCUCGGUUGCCAGGUUGUGU